CAGUCCGCCGCGCGACGCCGCACCGGCAACAGCUGCCCGCGCCUGCGCGCCCACACCGGCUGCGACCCGCGCGCCGCGCCGCGGCACCACGAUGCACCGCUGAACGAGCGUCCCGCGAUCGCCAACGGGGAGCCGACUCCACUGAGGUACGCGUCGCCUGAAGCAGCACGUGCGCCUCACUGUAACUGUUGGGGAUCCUCCCAGGACUGUACAUCGGCUGACGCGAGGCUUCCUUUUGAACCUGUCUGCGAGAAGUAAAAACUGCAAGGAGGGGAGAUCAUGGCGGCUGACGACUGGGCGCUGAGCGGCGGUCCAGGGCGGCCGGGCGACCCCAACCGUCUCCUGGGGGCGGCGUCUUUGUUAGCGUCGGCGGCGUCUCGGCGCCUUGCCACUGCCCUGUGAGCGUCCGCUCUGCCCUGGCGACACCGCACCCUACGACUGGACCGCGGCCGCUUCCAACAGCAGCAGACGCUGCCCGCGUGAUGUCCUCCGAAGAUGUUGAUCCGCACCUUCAUGUACAAGCUCGUGCGCCGGGUGAGGAAACACAGACGCUUCCGCGGUGUAAACGGCCGAACAAAGCAGUGAAGGCGAUUGCUCCUUCUGAGGCAGACACGCGUUAAGUUUUACAAUGUUCACUUAACAUCUGGAACAAUGAGAAACUCUGAUGUUGGGUGAUGGACUAUACUGAAUAAAACCUCUACGUGUAAAUAGCAACAUAUUAUUGCAAACCAAAGAACCAACUGUGAUUUUACUCGUGGUGAAGUGCUGAAAAAAUAUUGACUGCGAGGAGUUUAAAAAUAUUAUCAAUUUUGGUUAAGUCAUUGUAGGAUCCGAAUAUUCUUUUUCGAUUGGUUUAAUUUAGCACAGUAGUGAAAGUAACACCAUCACUGUACAGCUCACAGGCAAAACUAGCUGAUGUAUUCAGCAGUAAAAAGUAGUUUCAUUUGCAGACAAGUGGUAUUCAUUCUUUGGUGAAGAAUUUUGUUUAUAUAUCAAGUGUAAGGAAAUACAAGGCUCUGUCGAGACAUAGACUUUUAAUCUGAUUCCGGCGCAUAAUCCUCAUAAGUGUACACACAUUUUUUCGCAUAACUUGUUGGGCAGUAAGAACUAGGAGAGAAGGAGCUGCAGCAAAAGCCUAAGGUUAGCACACAAGCUCGAGGCCUGUGUAGUGACGUCAAACUCCGCGGUGGCUGCCGAAAGCCGUUCGCCGGACGAGCGGACGCCGUCCGCGGAAGCCUGCACGGCGCCAGAUAUGGCGGCGACGGCGGUAGCGUCGGGGGCGGCG